UACGGAGGGUCCAAGCGUUAUUCGGAAUUACUGGGCGUAAAGCGCGCGUAGGCGGCUUACUAAGUCUGAUGUGAAAUCCCUGGACUCAAUCCAGGAAGUGCAUUGGAUACUGGUAGGCUAGAGUGCAGGAGGGGAAAGCGGAAUUCCAGGUGUAGAGGUGAAAUUCGUAGAUAUCUGGAGGAACAACAGAGGCGAAGGCGGCUUUCUGGACUGUAACUGACGCUGAGGCGCGAAAGCGUGGGGAGCAAACAGG
rnacentral:rRNA from 1 species